AAUCAUUUUGUCCGAUGCAAGAAAUUAUUAUUCGCUGGACUGUUUGCAGUGCUCUCUCUCUCACUGGGCGAGAUGAUGGAAAAUCACAGCGGAGCCUAUUUUGCGUGGGUUUUAUGUGCAGCAAAUCUACAAAAUCAACUCAUCCCUCAAGUCCCUCGGCCACAUUUUACAACUUGCCACCAAAGAGAAAUCUCCGGAUCUGUCAGGACAAAUCCUAAACAUAGAGACAGAAUACGCUGAAGGUUUAACGCAAUGAAAUUCAAUCUUAAGGAUGACUGUUUUCGGAUGUAGAUUGGGGAUGACGAGAACUCAUGAAACCAGUUUAAAAAGGAAGUGGAGAGAAAUUGGAGGUGAAAACUAAUUCCAGACUAAAAUUGCAGCAGACAGCUUGAUCUAUGAAAAUAUUCGAUAUAAUUUCCAGUCACUCUACUCCACUCCACUUGCAGCUUUGGUAACAAAUUGGUGGAUAACCCUGACGUGAGUUAAUAGCAUUUGAAAUU